UGAUUAUUAAUUUCUGGUAGGACACUUCAGCAACUUGUGCACUUGCCUUCAAAUUACAUUCAAGCAUAUUAAAAUCUGAAUUUGGAGUCAUCAAAGAUUUUGCUGCUUGGAGUCCACUCUGCUUUGCAUCAUGACUAUAUUUUCUAGUAUUGCUAAAGUAAUUUCAAGCGAGGGUUCCAUAUUUGCUGGAAACUGACAAGGCUACAGUGGAAAUGGAGUGCAUGGAAGAAGGACAUCUUGCCAAGAUAAUACAUGGAGAUGGGUCCAAAGAGAUAAAAGUUGGUGAGAAAAAAUAUUAGAAUGUCCACCUGAAUCUCAAAACACAACUAAUAUUGUUGAUGAUACAAUUAGCAUUGUGUUUGGCAAAGAAGCUCGGGGUAGAGUGCGCGGAAUGGGCUUUGGAGUAACACCAUCGAAAGUUGGAGCUUCUGUGCAACAAAAUAGAACGGUUCAACAACUUCAAACUAUAGUACAAAAUGUUCAACAACAAAUGUAAGAAAUGAGGCAACAAAAUCAACUAGAAAUGCAAGAAAUGAGGUCUAUGUUUUUACAAAGUAUGAGA